rnacentral:lncRNA from 1 species
GCGACCUCCCCGCCAGGUCCUGUGUGUUGCCAGCCGAAGAAGGGUAGCUGAAAAAUUCAGACCCAGCACAGUGUUUAUGUUGGUCAAAAAUAGAAAACUAUGUCUGGCGCCGCCGAGGCGGGAGGACCCUUCAGGCCAAGAGCAGCCUAGCAACAUGGCGCAACCCCAUCUCUGUAGUCCUACCUCAGCUCCCCCCAGCUGAGGGGGGCUCAGCCCCCCAGCCCUCAAGUAUGAACCCAACGGUUCAAGGCUCCAGUGAGCUAUGAUCCCAUCACAGCAUUCCAGCCUGCGAGAUUGAGGCCCUCACAAUCCAGUGGAGGAGACGAAACUCAUCUGCCUCUGUCCCUCUGGGCACGCCUCAUGCCAGGUGCAUCUGUGGACAGGGGCCAUGCUCCUGGGCUUCCAAAGUUGGAGAAAGCUGCCAGGCUCAGAGCCACCUAAGCUGAAGAUUCCCUUGAGAACAAGUACUGUCCUGCGGUUUCAUGGCCUUUCUUCCAUUUGUGGUUCUUGCGAAGUGGAAUUUAAAUGACAUCUUAUCAAGAUCGAUAAAUACUAGUUUCCCAGUGCUGGAAUAUAGAAAAUGGAUGGACAAGUAAAUCCCACUCAGCACCCAUAGUCCAGGCAUGGGGACCUCAACACACCUGAGCCCCAAACAUCACCUUUCAUUCUGGACCUACCAUGAAAGACUUCUGAAUCCAGGAAGAGAAACUGACUGGGCAACAUGUUAUUCAGAAACAGGACCUUGCCCUGUCACUCAGGAUGGAGUUCAAUGGUCCUAUCAUGGCUCAUUAUAGCCUUAAACUCCCAGGCUCAAGCAAUCCUACCAUGUCAGCCUUCCCAGUAGCUGGGACUACAGGAAGUGACCUCACAAUGACUCAAGCUACCACAUACUGUUGAUUGUGAAAUGCCAGUUGAAGCAUAUGUCCUGCGAGCUUAGGGGUGCUACAAGUUGACCACUGCAGCAGUAAAGAUGACUCUGAAGAAUGGCAUGGGAUGGAUCCUUUCGAAUGCACUUGAGCAGCGGUCUCCAACCACAGGGCCACAGAGCUGGAGCUGGAUCUACCAUGAAAGACUUCUGAAUCCAGGAAGAGAGACUGACUGGGCAACAUGUUAUUCAGGGUCUCCCUCUGUUGUCCAAGGCUGGAGUGUAGUAGUGCUA